rnacentral:sRNA from 1 species
GCCAGGCAUGGUGGUGCAUGCCUGUAAUCCCUGUGGCUCGGGAGGCUGAGGCAGGAGGAUCAUGAGUUCAAAGACAGCCUCAACAAUUAGCAAGGCCCUAAGCAACUUAGUGAAACCCCCUGUCUU